GCCGUCACGCCAUCAUCAAUCGACCCCAUCAACAAUACCACCAAAACUGCCAUUAGCCAUCAACCAGAGUUUCGCUCAGUGUAGGAUCAAUCAUCGAGCUCUGAAGACGCACCCCUGAGAAAUCAUCAUAAUCAAUGACAACUGUCACGUCAAUGACGUCCGUCGCAACGCACACUUCAACGAGCAAGCAUCGAACGGAUUCCAGCGCACGCCAAUUUUAUUCGAUUGCUCGCCGCCAUCGCGGAAAAAGUGGUUCGCCGCGAGUGGGAACUGAAGUUCCAAAAAAGUGGCCACUAGUGGCAAAGUUUCUGCCAGCGGAAGGAGAUUUAUUGCCCGGUGCAUUUCGGUCAGGUCCGGUGCGUUGCGGUGAGGCGAAAAAACCCGUGCCUAUAGAGGUGACGAACGCCAGCACCCCAACAACGGUCACGACGGGGACGCUAACGGCAUCUUUUUGAAGACGCCAACCACAUUGUCGAGGCAAAAGUGCAGAAUAGAGCUGCAGGUGUGUUAUCGGAAGCGAAAGAGAGGGCCAAUCACUCCGUCCUCGGUUACACGACGACCACGAACACGCGAGCCGGAGCACCUGGUGCAAACCACGAACAGGUUAAUCCGGUGAGUACAAAGUCACUAGGAAGGAUCAAACACCGGAGGAACUAACUGGUGCGUUUUUAGGUACAGAAAUUGGCACCUUCCGUCAACGGCUCAUUGAGCGAUCAUCCAACAAACCGUGAAGUGGACUGCAUCCGUUUCGGAUAAGCUCAACUCGCAAAACCCCUUCGUGGUGGGCUGGACGCCAGCGAAAACCGCGCAAAGCCGAUUGAGGAUUGGCCGACUGGGAGGCAAACGACGAUUGUUUGCAAACAAAGACGUCACGCCAAUCAACAGAAAAAACCCCUUCCGAGGGGUUUUUUCUUUCUUUCUUUCCCUCAAUCGAUUGUAGUUUCGUCUUUGCUACUGGCGAUACGCGACGGCUCCGUUCAGCUCAUAUCCAAGCCACCAGUACGGGCCACUGCAGCGGGGGAAGCAGAUAGGACCCUUCGGAAGAUCAGAGCGCUUGCAGUUGGCCACUGCUGCGUUUCGGACACGAUUGGUGGGUGGCUUGAGAUCGACGGCAAACUCGAACUCAUCAAAGACAUCACGAGCAGGAGGCAAGCCUGUGUGGCAUGAAGUCGGCAGGAUCACCAUGGCGUGGCGACCGACAGAAGGGGGCGCCCCGAUAGGUUCCGUGAGUAGAAUCUAAGCGAAUCAUCUAGACAAUAAGUUCGAAUGUAGGAGAGAUAGGGAUCCCAGUUAGAUGAAAGGUUGAAGAAUGGGUGAAUAAAACUCCAAUUCAUGUAAAAU